rnacentral:misc_RNA from 1 species
UCCGGUUUAUCACCGGCAGUCUCCUUAGAGUGCCCACCAUAACGUGCUGGUAACUAAGGACAAGGGUUGCGCUCGUUACGGGACUUAACCCAACAUCUCACGACACGAGCUGACGACAGCCAUGCAGCACCUGUGUUCCGGUUCCCGAAGGCACCAAACCAUCUCUGGUAAGUUCCGGACAUGUCAAGGCCAGGUAAGGUUCUUCGCGUUGCAUCGAAUUAAACCACAUACUCCACCGCUUGUGCGGGCCCCCGUCAAUUCAUUUGAGUUUUAAUCUUGCGACCGUACUCCCCAGGCGGUCAACUUAUCGCGUUAGCUGCACCACUAAAGCCUUAAAGACUCCAACGGCUAGUUGACAUCGUUUACAGCGUGGACUAC